UGUGCAGGCGGGGUUGCAAGUGGUGUAUGAAAUCUCCAGGCUUAACCUGGAGGGGUUAUGCCAGACUGCAACUCUAGAGGACGAGAGAGGGGGGUGGAAUUCCGGGUGUAGUGGUGAAAUGCGUAGAGAUCCGGAGGAACCCCAGAGGCGAAGGCGGCCCCCUGGCUCGUACCUGACGCUCAGCCACGAAAGCAUGGGGAGCGAACGGGAUUAGAAACCCCGGUAGUCCAUGCCGUAAACGAUGCAAACUAGGCGCUGACGGUCUCAACCCCGCCGGUGCCGCAGCUAACGCGAUAAGUUUGCCGCCUGGGGAGUACGGUCGCAAGGCUAAA
rnacentral:rRNA from 1 species